rnacentral:rRNA from 1 species
GUUGAACGCUGGCGGCGUGCCUAAUACAUGCAAGUCGAGCGAACAGAUGAGGAGCUUGCUCCUCUGACGUUAGCGGCGGACGGGUGAGUAACACGUGGAUAACCUACCUAUAAGACUGGGAUAACUUCGGGAAACCGGAGCUAAUACCGGAUAAUAUAUUGAACCGCAUGGUUCAAUAGUGAAAGACGGUUUUGCUGUCACUUAUAGAUGGAUCCGCGCCGCAUUAGCUAGUUGGUAAGGUAACGGCUUACCAAGGCAACGAUGCGUAGCCGACCUGAGAGGGUGAUCGGCCACACUGGAACUGAGACACGGUCCAGACUCCUACGGGAGGCAGCAGUAGGGAAUCUUCCGCAAAGGGCGAAAGCCUGACGGAGCAACGCCGCGUGAGUGAUGAAGGUCUUCGGAUCGUAAAACUCUGUUAUUAGGGAAGAACAAAUGUGUAAGUAACUAUGCACGUCUUGACGGUACCUAAUCAGAAAGCCACGGCUAACUACGUG